ACAGCCAUGUUACAUUGUAAACUACUGCGGUUCGAUCUAGACGAUUACUGAAGUUAAGCAAUGUUAGGCCUGGUCAGUAUUUGGGAGGGUGACCACUUGGUGAUGUUGUA